rnacentral:tRNA from 1 species
GGGGGUGGCAGAGUCCUGGUGGGCUCCGCGGUCUUCAAAACCGUUGAGGGGUGCCGAGAGGCGGCCCUGGUGGGUUCGACUCCCAUCCACUCCCG